GCGUGCGCAGGCGGUUAUAUAAGAACAGAUGUGAAAUCCCCGGGCCUCAACCUGGGAACUGCAUUUGUGACUGUAUAGCUGGAGUGCGGCAGAGGGGGAUGGAAUUCCGCGUGUAGCAGUGAAAUGCGUAGAUAUGCGGAGGAACACCGAUGGCGAAGGCAAUCCCCCUGGGCCUGCACUGACGCUCAUGCACGAAAGCGUGGGGAGCAAACAGGAUUAGAUACCCCAGU
rnacentral:rRNA from 1 species